CUAUCGCAAGAUAGCAGCGGCAAACGGGUUAGUAACACACUGGUACAUACCCUGAAGAGGAGGAUAGCUAGUCGAAAGAUUAGGUAAUACUCCAUAGUCUGGUAGUUGAACUUUGUAUAGAAGAUUAUAAAAAAUCUUAAAGAUAAAGUUCAAUUACCAGUAAAGCAGCAAUGCGCUUCAGGAAUGGCCUAUGUCCUAUCAGCUAGUUGGUGAGGUAAUGGCUCACCAAGGCUAUGACGGGUAGGGGGCGUGAGAGCGUGAUCCCCAACACUGGAACUGAGACACGGUCCAUACGCCUACGGGAGGCAGCAGUGGG
rnacentral:sRNA from 1 species